UUGACCUCGGAUCAGGUAGGAAUACCCGCUGAACUUAAGCAUAUCAUAAACCACGGAAGAAA
rnacentral:rRNA from 1 species